AGCCAGUGUGGUGUUGUGGUUUUGAGUGCUGGACUGUGACUCUAGAGACCCGGGUUCGAAUCCUGGCUUGGCUA